UACGAAGGGGGCUAGCGUUGCUUGGAAUCACUGGGCGUAAAGCGCACGUAGGCGGCUUUUUAAGUCAGGGGUGAAAUCCUGGAGCUCAACUCCAGAACUGCCUUUGAUACUGAAAGUCUUGAGUAUGGGAGAGGUGAGUGGAACUGCGAGUGUAGAGGUGAAAUUCGUAGAUAUUCGCAAGAACACCAGUGGCGAAGGCGGCUCACUGGCCCAUAACUGACGCUGAGGCACGAAAGCGUGGGGAGCAAACAGG
rnacentral:rRNA from 1 species